UCUUCCAUGGCCCAGCUGGUCAAGGCGUCCGACUGUUAAUCGGGAGAUCACAAGUUCGAUCCUUGUUGGAAGAG